UUCCCCCUGUUUAUCAAAAACAUGUCUGUAUGGGUUCGUUAUAGGGUCUGGCCUGCCCACUGAGUUAUUUUUAAAGGGCCGCGGUAGUUUAACCGUGCGAAGGUAGCGUAGUAAUUUGUCUUUUAAUUGAAGGCUUGAAUGAACGGUCGGAUGAGAUGUAAACUGUCUUUCUUGUAAUGAAAGAAUUUAACUUUUGAGUGAAAAGGCUCAGAUAUAAUAAAGGGACGAUAAGACCCUAUAAAGCUUUAUGUGGGCUGUGCUAUAGAGUGAAUUAAGGUUAAGUUUUUGAUGAUGUCCAUAUUUCGUUGGGGAGACGGAGAUAUAAUAGGUAACUGUCUUGGAAAUUUUAUAGGUGUUUUUAGAGAGUGAUCCUUCUUUGGGGAUUUAUAGAAAAAGUUACUUUAGGGAUAACAGCGUGAUUUUUCUCUGAGAGUUCUUAUCGACGAGAGUAGUCGCGACCUCGAUGUUGAAUUAAAGUUUCAGUUGGGUGUAGUUGUUCAACUAGUGGGUCUGUUCGACCUUUAAAACUUUACAUGAUUUGAGUUCAAACCGGCGUGAGCCAGGUGGGUUUCUAUCUAA
rnacentral:rRNA from 1 species